UGUGGGUGGGGAGAGGCGAAGCGGCUCCUCGCCAGGGGCAACGGGCCCAGGGCUGGGCGGCCAGAGCUGCUGGGGCGGCACCGGCCCCGCUCUUCCAGCCCGCCCUCAGCCCCGCUUGGGGGGCCCCGCUGCCGCCUCAGCCGCACCCCGUGGAAGGGCGGCUUCCAGGCUCUGCUCCUGUGCCUAGAAAUUUCCCAGAUGAGGGGGUGAAGCUCUUCCUUUGCUCGUGUCUGGCAUCCCAGGUGGCUGAGAGACCCUUGGGUGCUGGUCCCUGGGUUAUCAGUAGGGGAAGCAAUACUUAUAAUACCGCACAUUUACUGUGGAAGAUCUUGAGCUGCUUCGCAAAUUAGGGGCGGUCAAGAACAGAGUCUUCAGAUAGUCUGUUUUACUGCAGAUAUGGUAUGUUUAAAUAACAGAGAAAAUAUUCUUGUACGACCAAAUUGUUGUCUUUAUCUGUUUUGUUAAUAAUAAUGAACAGUGAUAAAUGAAGUCAGAAAUCAUCUUGUUCAAGGUAUAAUUGUUCAGUCUGUGCUACUGGGGAAUGUAAAUUAGUAUCAGGAACAUCUUAGAACUUAUGUCUAAGUGGCACAUUGCCUUCUAGUUACCAACUUUUUAUCUCUUUGGAGUGCUUUGUAAGACUAACCUUGUUAAAAAUGAUUCUUUGUCUAAAUAUGUGAAUACCAUCCUGAAUUUAGUUUGGGUCAACUUAGUUUAUAAUAAUGUUUUAUAAUAAUCUCUUAAACUUCCAGAAAGCUUGCAGUUGAUUUGUAGAUCGAUCUGAGAACUACAAAAUUAAUAAUAGAUAUGGGAAAUGCACAGAGCACCAAGAAUCUGCACUUAGCAGACAGAGAUUUUGUUAUUUGCUCUGUAACUGACCUGCUGUGUAACCAGCCUUUUCUUCCCUGCACGUCUGUGUGAUGAUGUCUAAGACAAGUUCAAUAAUACUUUCAGGAACUACUCAAGAUCCGCAGAUGAAAAGGGCUUGAUGUUAUGUAUCAAACCUACUAGAUGAAACUUUUCUUCCAGUAAAAAAGAAUUGCUUAUAGAAGUUAGUUCAGUUAUAAGGGGUUUUAUUUGGCACCUCUUACGAAAACAAAUAUUAUCUUGUCCUAUUAUGAGAGCUGUUCAGCACUUCUGAAAGGCUUCCUAUUUUGUACUGUAUUUGUAAAAUGAGAUCUUGCGUUGAGUUAAAUCUUAAUUUGUGUAAGUAAUAUAUUCUGGAAAAAAAAAAAUUAAUGCACAUACAAACUCAAGCUGUAUACUGGGAUUUGCAGUAGAUCAUAGAAUGAUUCAUAUUGGAAGGGAUGUUAAAGAUCACCUAGUUCUAAACCCUUCUGUGGGCAGGGACACCUUCCACUAGACCAGGCUGCUCAGAGUCCCAUCCAGGC